rnacentral:lncRNA from 1 species
GUAAUUGUCAUUUCCACCUUUCAGUUUAGAGAAGAAACUUCUAAGCUGAAUAAUAUUCUUAGAAACUGACAAUCCAAGAUGGACAAGCAAACCAAAUUAAAUACUUCGAAAAGAUCACACAUGGCCCAGCAGUGCAGCAGAAGUGUUGGCCAAGAGAGCUUCAUGGAGUUAACUGAACCAAUAUAGUGAAAUAUAUUGAAUUUGGAAAGAUAAGGGAAGA